GUGAGGAAUUUUCCGCAAUGGGCGAAAGCCUGACGGAGCAAUGCCGCGUGAAGGAUGAAGGCCUAUGGGUUGUAAACUUCUUUUCUCAGAAAAGAAUUAUGACGGUAUCUGAGGAAUAAGCAUCGGCUAACUCUGUGCCAGCAGCCGCGGUAAGACAGAGGAUGCAAGCGUUAUCCGGAAUGAUUGGGCGUAAAGCGUCUGUAGGUUGUUUAAAAAGUAUUCUGUCAAAGAUUAGGGCUUAACCCUAGAUAGGCAGAAUAAACUUUUAAGCUAGAGUUUGGUAGAGGCAGAGGGAAUUCCCGGUGGAGCGGUGAAAUGCGUAGAUAUCGGGAGGGACACCAAAGGCGAAGGCACUCUGCUGGGCCAAUACUAACACUGAGAGACGAAAGCGAGGGGAGCAAAUGGGAUUAGAAACCCGAGUAGUCC
rnacentral:rRNA from 1 species